rnacentral:rRNA from 1 species
GAUUAUGGCUCAGGACGAACGCUGGCGGCGCGCCUAACACAUGCAAGUCGAACGAGAGAGAAGGAGCUUGCUUCUUCGAUCGAGUGGCGAACGGGUGAGUAACGCGUGAGGAACCUGCCUCAAAGAGGGGGACAACAGUUGGAAACGACUGCUAAUACCGCAUAAGCCCACGGGUCGGCAUCGACCUGAGGGAAAAGGAGCAAUCUGCUUUGGGAUGGCCUCGCGUCCGAUUAGCUAGUUGG